GAUGAAGAACGUAGCGAAACGCGAAAGGUAAUGCGAAUUGCAGAAUCAGUGAGUCAUCGAAUCUUUGAACGCACAUUGCGCCUCUCGGUAUUCCGGGAGGCACGCCUGUUCGAGCGCCAUUACACACUCCAAGCAGCAGCUUGAUGUUGGGCGAGGUCUGAAGACCGGAGCGUCAGCCUUUUUCGUGUUCGAGAAGGGAGGGGCUCGGGCGGAGGACGCGCCUGGAACGCGUGGGCGGCGGACGCCAGACCGCGAGCGUAGCAAGACAUUUUUGGGUGUCACCGGCUCGGGUGGAUCUGGUGGACGACCAGUCUCUUUCCUUUCCCUUCUGUUGAUGAAGGAAGCAACGAGUUUGGCCUCGGAUCAGGCGGGGAUACCCGCUGAACUUAAGCAUAUCAAUAAGCGGAGGA
rnacentral:misc_RNA from 1 species